AUCAGGAAAGAAUAAUGACGGUACCUGAUGAAUAAGCACCGGCUAACUCCGUGCCAGCAGCCGCGGUAAUACUGGGGGUGCAAGCGUUACUCGGAAUCACUGGGCGUAAAGGACGCGUAGGCGGAUUAUCAAGUCUUUUGUGAAAUCUAACAGCUUAACUGUUAAACUGCUUAGGAAACUGAUAAUCUAGAGUAGGGGAGAGGUAGAUGGAAUUCUUGGUGUAGGGGUAAAAUCCGUAGAGAUCAAGAAGAAUACCCAUUGCGAAAGCGAUCUGCUGGAACCUAACUGACGCUGAGGCGUGAAAGCGUGGGUAGCAAACAGGAUUAGAUACCCUGGUAGUCCACGCCCUAAACGAUG
rnacentral:rRNA from 1 species